rnacentral:rRNA from 1 species
UGGGGAAUCUUGCGCAAUGGCCGCAAGGCUGACGCAGCGACGCCGCGUGGGGAGGAAGGGCUUCGGCUCGUAAACCCCUGUUGCCGGGCUGCAAGCAGCAGGUUCGACCUGCCUGACGGUACCGGGUGAGGAAGCACCGGCUAACUCCGUGCCAGCAGCCGCGGUAAUACGGAGGGUGCGAGCGUUGUCCGGAAUCACUGGGCGUAAAGGGCGCGUAGGUGGCCGAGCAAGGUCGCGGUGAAAGCCCGGGGCUCAACCCCGGGUCGGCCGUGGCAACUACUCGGCUUGAGCACUGUAGGGGCGGGUGGAAUUCCGGGUGUAGCGGUGGAAUGCGUAGAGAUCCGGAAGAACACCGGUGGCGAAGGCGGCCCGCUGGGCAGGAAGGCUCGCAAGAGCCGGCUGACACUGAGGCGCGACAG